GACGAACGCUGGCGGCGUGCUUAACACAUGCAAGUGGAGCGACGAACCUGGCUUCGGCCAGGGGCAGAGCCGCGAACGGGUGAGUAACACGUGGGUAACGUGCCCCAAUGACUGGGACGAACCCGGGGAAACCCGGGCGUAAUACCGGAUGUGCUCCUUCCACAUCAGUGGAUUGAGUAAAGGUAGCUUCGGCUUCCGCAUUGGGAUCGGCCCGCGGCGCAUUAGCUUGUUGGUGGGGUAAUGGCCACCAAGGCAUCGAUGCGUAGCUGGUCUGAGAGGACGAUCAGCCACACUGGGACUGAGACACGGCCCAGACUCCUACGGGAGGCAGCAGUGGGGAAUCUUGCGCAAUGCACGAAAGUGUGACGCAGCAACGCCGC
rnacentral:rRNA from 1 species